rnacentral:misc_RNA from 1 species
UUUAUCUUGGUCUCUGUUGACGGGGGAACACACCUCAGUGCGGUGGUGUAACAGAGCUCAGUGCCCCAGCCCUUCGGGUGCAUGGGAAGAGGCCAAGCAGCUCCUCCUCCAUCCCCUGCCAAUGCAGCGCUGCACUUCCUCUGGUGCUGGCAGGGUCCACGUGCCCACGACGUAGGGAAGCCAGUGCGCUGCAUCGCGACGGAUGUCGGCGGUGUGUCAGGUCCUGGAUGGCGUUGCGUCGGAGCGGCCUGCGGCAGUGCCGACGCGUCUGCGCGGCUCCAGCGCAUCCGUCACCCGGCCCUCACCACCGCCUGCUGAUGUGGGGAGCCUGAGCGCCACCCCCUCCCUCUCCGAGGAGGGAUGCCGCAGGUGGCGGCCGGCAUGAUGGGAGCGGCUGUGAGGCGGCCUGCGAGGCAGCGGGGGGGGCGGGAGGAGGUCGGUGGAGCUUGAGGCAGGGGGGCCGUGCUCUCGGAUGGCUGAGUCGGCGCGUUGCCGCAAAGCGUGUGUGCCGCGCUGCGUCGCAGGACUCGGUGAGGCCUGUGGCCGGCCGGCGGUGACGCGGAGUGGAGUUUGGCUCGUGUAUGGCAGAGAAUGGGCACGUUGAAAGAACGAACGCGAUCUCUUUCGUCGAAGGGCCAUGUACAGGAGUGGUUGGUGGCGCUUCGGAAAACGGAAGCGAGUAUCCUGAAUUAGCAAGGCCCAUCCUAGCUAGGCGUGUUGGCCACCUCUGCGACUACGCAGCUCUCGCCUCCAUGCUCGGUUUGAUGUACACUCCCUUUGAGGGACAGGCUUGCACACGUGACAGUGCAGCUAGGUGAGUGGAAGGAUGAGUGCGUGCUCACGUUUCAGUUGCCACGAGCGGAAGGGGAGUGGGUGGCGCACGUGUGGACGAGAUGCGAUCCUGCGGUGUCCAAGAAAGCCUCGCUGCGCGCGCACGUCAUCG